UGGGGAAUAUUGGGCAAUGGGCGAAAGCCUGACCCAGCAACGCCGCGUGAAUGAUGAAGGCCUUCGGGUUGUAAAAUUCUUUGGACAGGGACGAAGAAAGUGACGGUACCUGUAGAACAAGCCACGGCUAACUACGUGCCAGCAGCCGCGGUAAUACGUAGGUGGCGAGCGUUAUCCGGAUUUACUGGGCGUAAAGGGCGUGUAGGCGGCUAGAUAAGUGUGAUGUUUAAAUCCAAGGCUUAACCUUGGGGUUCAUUACAAACUGUUUAGCUUGAGUGCUGGAGAGGAUAGUGGAAUUCCUAGUGUAGCGGUAAAAUGCGUAGAUAUUAGGAGGAACACCGGUGGCGAAGGCGGCUAUCUGGACAGUAACUGACGCUGAGGCGCGAAAGCGUGGGGAGCAAACAGG
rnacentral:rRNA from 2 species